CAGUCGCCGCGGUAAUACGGAGGGUGCAAGCGUUAAUCGGAAUUACUGGGCGUAAAGCGCACGCAGGCGGUUUGUUAAGUCAGAUGUGAAACCCCCGAGCUUAACUUGGGAACUGCAUUUGAAACUGGCAAGCUAGAGUCUUGUAGAGGGGGGUAGAAUUCCAGGUGUAGCGGUGAAAUGCGUAGAGAUCUGGAGGAAUACCGGUGGCGAAGGCGGCCCCCUGGACAAAGACUGACGCUCAGGUGCGAAAGCGUGGGGAGCAAACAGGAUUAGAUACCCCAGUAGUCCCUGUCACUUAUAC
rnacentral:rRNA from 1 species